AACGAACGCUGGCGGCAGGCCUAACACAUACAAGUCGAGCGAGGACUUCGGUCCUAGCGGCGGACGGGUGAGUAACGCGUGGGAACGUGCCCUUUGCUUCGGAAUAGCCCUGGGAAACUGGGAGUAAUACCGGAUGAGCCCUUUGGGGGAAAGAUUUAUCGGCGAAGGAUCGGCCCGCGUUGGAUUAGGUAGUUGGUGGGGUAAUGGCCUACCAAGCCGACGAUCCAUAGCUGGUUUGAGAGGAUGAUCAGCCACACUGGGACUGAGACACGGCCCAGACUCCUACGGGAGGCAGCAGUGGGGAAUCUUAGACAAUGGGGGAAACCCUGAUCUAGCCAUGCCGCGUGAGCGAUGAAGGCCUUAGGGUUGUAAAGCUCUUUCAGCUGGGAAGAUAAUGACGGUACCAGCAGAAGAAGCCCCGGCUAACUCCGUG
rnacentral:rRNA from 1 species